AACGAACGCUGGCGGCAUGCCUAAUACAUGCAAGUCGAGCGCAGGAAACUGACGGAACUCUUCGGAGGGAAGGCAGUGGAAUGAGCGGCGGACGGGUGAGUAACACGUAAGGAACCUGCCUCAAGGAUUGGGAUAACUCCGAGAAAUCGGAGCUAAUACCGGAUAGUUCAACGGACCGCAUGGUCCGUUGAUGAAAGGCGCUCCGGCGUCACCUUGAGAUGGCCUUGCGGUGCAUUAGCUAGUUGGUGGGGUAACGGCCCACCAAGGCGACGAUGCAUAGCCGACCUGGGAGGGUGAUCGGCCACACUGGGACUGAGACACGGCCCAGACUCCUACGGGAGGCAGCAGUAGGGAAUCUUCCACAAUGGACGAAAGUCUGAUGGAGCAACGCCGCGUGAGUGAUGAAGGUUUUCGGAUCGUAAAACUCUGUUGUAAGGGAAGAACACGUACGAGAGGGAAUGCUCGUACCUUGACGGUACCUUACGAGAAAGCCACGGCUAACUACGUGCCAGCCGCCGCGGUAAAAC
rnacentral:rRNA from 1 species